GUCAAAUAUACAGCUGCUUCUGCUGUAAACAUGCAGAACCCUGAUGUACAGAAAUCUCAUGAAAGGAUGACCAGCACGUCCUUGGAGUGGAAGCCUGCCAAACGAGCAGGUUAGAAAUAAGUGAGGCCUGAUGAAGAGAUUCAAAGGAAGACAAGAGUCCAGCGAAUUCAUGUGUCCUGCCAGAAUGAAGAGAGGAUGACUCCCAUUCUAAUGGGCUCCAGAGAAGAGGGUGAAGGAAAUACAUUGCUACGACUGUCCUUCUGCAGCAUGAAUGUAGACUGCCAGGUCAACAGCAAAUUUCACAUCAACAUAUCCAGUCC
rnacentral:lncRNA from 1 species